rnacentral:rRNA from 1 species
CCUACGGGGGGCAGCAGUGAGGAAUAUUGGUCAAUGGGCGCGAGCCUGAACCAGCCAAGUCGCGUGAGGGAAGACGGCCCUACGGGUUGUAAACCUCUUUUGCCGGGGAGCAACGGGCGCCACGUGUGGCGCCACUGAGAGUACCCGGAGAAAAAGCAUCGGCUAACACCGUGCCAGCAGCCGCGGUAAUACGGAGGAUGCGAGCGUUAUCCGGAUUUAUUGGGUUAAAGGGGUGCGUAGGCGGGGCGUUAGUUCAGUGGUCAAAUUGAGGGGCUCAACCCCUUCCCGCCAUUGAUACUGGCGCUCUUGAGUGGAAGUGAGGUAUGCGGAAUGCGUGGUGUAGCGGUGAAAUGCAUAGAGAUCACGCAGAACCCCGAUUGCGAAGGCAGCAUGCCGGCUUCCGACUGACGCUGAAGCACGAAAGCGUGGGGAUCGAACAGGAUUAGAUACCCGGGUAGUC